GACGAACGCUGGCGGCGCGCUUAACACAUGCAAGUCGAGCGAGAACCCAGGCUUCGGCCUGGGGGACAGCGGCGAACGGGUGAGUAUCACGUGGGUAAUCUGCCCUCGGCAUCGGGAUAGCCCGGGGAAACCCGGAUUAAUACCGAAUGGCCCAUCCGCAUCUCGGAGCGGCUGGAAAAGGUAGCUUCAGCCUCCGGCCGAGGAGGAGCGCGCGGCGGAUUAGCUUGUUGGUGAGGUAACGGCUCACCAAGGCGACGAUCCGUAGCUGGUCUGAGAGGACGAUCAGCCACACUGGGACUGAGACACGGCCCAGACUCCUACGGGAGGCAGCAGUGGGGAAUCUUGCGCAAUGGGCGAAAGCCUGACGCAGCGACGCCGCGUGCGGGAAGAAGGCCUUCGGGUUGUAAACCGCUUUCAGGAGGGACGAAGCCACUCGGGUUAAUAGCCCAGAGGGUGACGGUACCUCCAGAAGAAGCCCCGGCUAACUACGUGCCAGCAGCCGCCGUAAGAC
rnacentral:rRNA from 1 species